UACGAAGGGAGCUAGCGUUGUUCGGAAUCACUGGGCGUAAAGCGCACGUAGGCGGAUUUGUCAGUCAGGGGUGAAAUCCCGGGGCUCAACCUCGGAACUGCCUUUGAUACAGCAAGUCUUGAGUUCGAGAGAGGUGGGUGGAAUUCCUAGUGUAGAGGUGAAAUUCGUAGAUAUUAGGAAGAGCACCGGUGGCGAAGGCGGCCCACUGGCUCGAUACUGACGCUGAGGCACGAAAGCGUGGGGAUCAAACAGG
rnacentral:rRNA from 1 species